rnacentral:rRNA from 1 species
GCAUUAAUAAUAAGCGGAGGAAAAGAAACUAACAAGGAUUCCCCUAGUAACGGCGAGUGAACCGGGAAGAGCUCAAAUUUGUAAUCUGGCUGUCUUCGAUAGUCCGAGUUGUAAUCUAUAGAAGCGUUUUCCGUGCUGAACUGUGUCUAAGUCCCUUGGAACAGGGUAUCAAAGAGGGUGACAAUCCCGUACUUGACACAAUCAUCAGUGCUCUGUGAUACGUUCUCUACGAGUCGAGUUGUUUGGGAAUGCAGCUCAAAAUGGGUGGUAAAUUCCAUCUAAAGCUAAAUAUUGGCGAGAGACCGAUAGCGAACAAGUACCGUGAGGGAAAGAUGAAAAGCACUUUGGAAAGAGAGUUAAACAGUACGUGAAAUUGUUGAAAGGGAAACGAUUGAAGUCAGUCGUGUUUAUUGGUUUCAGCUAGUUCUUCUAGUCUACUACCUUUAAACGGGUCAACAUCAGUUUUGUCCGGUGGAUAAAGGUGUUAGGAAAGUAGCUUCUUCGGAAGUGUUAUAGCCUAGUAUCACACACACUGGAGGAGACUGAGGACUGCAGCUCGCCUUUUGGCCGGGGUUCGCCCACGUUCGAGCUUAGGAUGUUGACAUAAUGGCUUUAAACGACCCGUCUUGAAACCCGGGACC